rnacentral:rRNA from 1 species
AUUGAACGCUGGCGGCAGGCCUAACACAUGCCAGUCGAGCGGAUGAAGGGAGCUUGCUCCUGGAUUCAGCGGCGGACGGGUGAGUAAUGCCUAGGAAUCUGCCUGGUAGUGGGGGAUAACGUCCGGAAACGGGCGCUAAUACCGCAUACGUCCUGAGGGAGAAAGUGGGGGAUCUUCGGACCUCACGCUAUCAGAUGAGCCUAGGUCGGAUUAGCUAGUUGGUGGGGUAAAGGCCUACCAAGGCGACGAUCCGUAACUGGUCUGAGAGGAUGAUCAGUCACACUGGAACUGAGACAGGGUCCAGGCUCCUACGGGAGGCAGCAGUGGGGAAUAUUGGACAAUGGGCGAAAGCCUGAUCCAGCCAUGCCGCGUGUGUGAAGAAGGUCUUCGGAUUGUAAAGCACUUUAAGUUGGGAGGAAGGGCGGUAAGUUAAUACCUUGCUGUUUUAACGUUACCAACAGAAUAAGCACCGGCUAACUUCGUG